ACUCACCUGCCGAAUCAACUAGCCCCG
rnacentral:ncRNA from 2 species